rnacentral:lncRNA from 1 species
GGUGUACCCUUUCUGGUGGGACUGCCAAACCCUUAGGACGUCAUCCUCGAACUGGGAUCGGGUAGGGAACAACCUAAGGGAGGGGAUGGCGAACCUGCCUGAGAGUGAAGACACAGAGGACAGCGCAGGCAAGGAGCAGGUUCCUGAUAUGAUCGUCUGAGGCCCUGGGUGCUGGUGCUGGAAGGCAGCCCCACCCUGGCAUUUUCAGAUACUAGAACCAGCGACCCCCUUUCAUACUGAAUCCUGUUUGACUGGGUGUUUAUCACUUGACUGACAUCCUCUAAGAAUUGUGCAGUGGGCCGUGUGCAGCCAGCCACCUCCUUCUGGAAAGACAAACUCUCAACUCUUUCAGAAAACAGGCUGUGUCUGUGCCUCUCUCUCCUUCCUAGAACGUGAGGACGUCCCUCCUGACUCUCCAUACCUGGGGCUGACCUGCACGCCCUCCGAGCCACAUUACCCGCGCAGCCUUGCCUGGCGAUCGCGCUGAGCAGCACCUACCCGGUCACUGAAGGGAGGCUGGCCUGGCAAUGGGCCGCAAGAUUCAAGUUGGAGAAUGUCCCUCGUUUCCAUCCUGUUUCUGUGACUUGUAUGUGACAGUAUUUAGGGAAGGUGAAAGGCAUACCUUUUUGGCUCCUGUCCUGAUAAGGUGGGCAACCAAUCGCCACAGUCAGGGUUGGGGAGGGGAACGGGGAGGUGGUGGAGCCCUGCACCUUCAUCCCAUCACCUGUGCUGGAGUUCCUGCCAUUGGAGGCUUCCUGAGAAUUUCCAGCCACCAGAAGGGGGCAGACGGUGACUUCUGAAGCUGGGACACAAUGGAUCUGUGAGGAGGCAGGCAAGAUGGGGUGGAGGCGCCAGGCUGAAACCACCACCUCCACCACCUCCACCACCUCGGGACAAGCUGGGCCCCCAUCAGCUGGGCUUGGCUCUCCGGAAGCUUCAGGUGUGGGCUAGCUCAGAGGAUCCCAGGCCCACUGCUUGUCUAGUCAGGUCACUGGAUUGGGGAGGGCUUGACAGGCUAGGGGGCUGGCAGUCUUGACAGGCUAGGGGGCUGGCAGUCUGCCUUAGGAGCAGGGGCUGGGGCUGGUCUUGAAGCUGAAGAACAGGCACAUUGUCUUUACCUGGACCGUACAUUUAGCUAGGGUGUUGGAGGGGGCUGGUGGAGAUUUGAGGUGGGUUUAAGUUUUCUGAAGCCAGCCAGGUGCAGUGGCUCACACCUGUAAUCCCAGCACUUUGGGAGGCUGAGGUGGAAGGAUCGCUUGAGCCCAGGAAUUUGAGACCAGCCUGGGCAAUACAGGGAGACCCUGUCUCUACAACAACAAAAACGUUGCCCUAAGCCACCCCUUGGCUUGGUCACUGCUCAGGGAAGCCCUUCCAGCCUCAGAAACCCCCAGAGCCGCCGAAUCGUCCUGCAUGGAAGACAGACACAGAUGCAAGUGUCUAAAUGCCUUUGUGCAUCCUGGUUCCAGGUGGGAGGCGCUGGGAGAUGGGGGCCUCUCACUUAGAAACUGCCUCCCUCCCAAACCUGGACACACGGCCCACUGCUCCACACUACCACCACCAGUGUUGGCGGUCACAGGACGCCGAUGGCCCGUGGUAUGUCUGGAGCUUCCUCGUGGACAGGCCUUUCAGCAGUGUGUCCUGCUGGGCCCGGUGCCUGUUGAAAUUGAGUCCUUUGUGGAUUUCCUAAGCCACAAAGCAACCCCAGCCCUGGGAUAUCUCAAAGAGAAUUUUUAAAUGACAUGAGCUGGACAUGCAACCACAAGGUGUCUGCCCAGAUUAAGGCGAGCUCCAGCAUGGGCCUUUGAAGGGCACUCGAUUUCCCAGGGUGAAGAUGGAUUUCCACAACGGAAUUCAGAAAAGCCUCCCCAGCCCACACUCAUCCACUGGGACAGGAAUCACUAUCCCUGGGGCCUGCGAGGGAGGUUCCAGGACAGCAGGUAUUUUUCACAUCCUACCAUACACUGCUGUCCAGGCAGUGGUACCAGCACCAGAGUCCCCGGACCUGUGUCUGCCCUGAGUGUCCUACCUCCACGCUGUCCCUUCUCAGCACAAGACCCACCGUGUGUCUAGCCCCCAACUCCACUGGUUACAUGUCCAUGGCUCCUGCAGCCUCAGAGC